AUCAGACGAUGCGUCAUGCAUAUCAAUAAGCGGAGGAAAAGAAACUAACUAAGGAUUCCCUUAGUAACGGCGAGUGAAGCGGGAAGAGCUCAAAUUUGAAAUCUUAAAGGGUUUCCCUUUACGAAUUGUAGUUUAAAGAAGUGUUUUCUGUUAGAGUUUCGGUAAAAGUUCUUUGGAAUAGGACAUCAUAGAGGGUGAGAAUCCCGUAUUUGACCGUUAUUUCUAGCUUUGUGAUACACUUUCAAAGAGUCGGAUUGUUUGGGAAUGCAGUCCAAAAUGGGUGGUAAAUUUCAUCUAAAGCUAAAUAUUGGCGAGAGACCGAUAGCGAACUAAGUACCGUGAGGGAAAGAUGAGAAGAACUUUGAAAAGAGAGUUAAACAGUACGUGAAAUUGUCAAAAGGGGAAGCGUUUGACACCAGUGUUGUUUUCUCGAAAAUCAAUUAAAAAAGGCAGGAUUUUGUGUUGUAUUGACUUUAUCAGCUUUCUGCACUCUUUUCUUGUCUUUUUUUAAUGCACUUUUCGUUUAACAAGUCAACAUCAAUUUCUUUUGUUGUAAAAGGGUCAUUGGAAGGUGGCUUUCUUUUCGGAGAAAGUGUUUAUAGCCUUUGGCCUCUGCAAUCGGAGAGAUUGAGGUCUGCAGCGUAGAUCCUUCGGGGUUAGGUACAUUUGUGCUAAGUUAUAGCCUUUCAUAGACAACUUGUUGACUAUGAUCAGUCAUGUAGCUUACUCGCUUAUGCUAUUUUACCUACGCUUAGGAUGUUGAUCUACAGAGCGAGAGU
rnacentral:rRNA from 1 species